AAUGCAGCUACAAAAUCAAGUAUGUUCCUUUGCAAGGAGUUUUUGCAUCUCCUUCCAUAAAAAGGUGCAGUGAAUGGCAACUAUCAGAUGGCAGAGAAAACAGUAACAGCAGACACUGGGAUGUGUGACGGAGUACACUCUGCAGGUCACUGCCUGCUGGGUGUGGACAAGGAGCACAGGGACCCGGCAAGGGAUCAAGCAGCAGAGGUAAGUGGGCAACGGGCCAUCCACACCGUGCAGGAAACAGGGAGCGCAGCUGUCAUCAGGAUACAGGGAGCACAGCUGUCAUCACUGGUUUCUUGGUGAAGAUGUGCAGACCCUUUACUCCAAGGUAAGGUGAAAUAGUCAUUACAAGUGCACGUUUCAGAAUGAGAAAGAUCUGCUGGCUGUGUGAUCAUGGGGAGUCACAUUACCUCUCAUAGCUUCCAUUUCUUUUUCUGUAACAUCUGGAUGUUAAUGAUACUUACCGCAUAGGUUUGUUAGUAGAAUUAGUCCAGAAGAGAUGUAGUCUACUAACGCCAAGAGCCUUGUGCAUAGUUAGUGCCCAGUAAAUAGCAACCAUUAUAGUGCUACUGUUUCCAGGCAUCUCAGAAUGAAGUUUUUCACACCAGAUCAAAGCUGCUUGCUGCUCUACUGUACCAGAGGCUUCCACAGUUCCUCCAAAGGGACUCUCGGUCCCAGGCUUGAAAGUCAAGUGCAAGUGCAGGACACAAGACACAGGAAUGAGCCUUCUGUUUAGUAUUCUGGAGCAGCUGAAAGCCCCCUUACCCUCAAUCACAUUUGCAUCAGCAUUUCCAAACUGCACAUUGUUUUCUAGUGAUCCUCACGAUUUAAAUUUUAAUCAUCUUUUUCUUGAAAAACAAAUGAAAAAUAAGAAACAAAAAUGAGCUGGAGAUAUUGCAUUUCUCUAAAAAGCUACCACUAAUUAAGACGUUGAAAGCGAUUUUAACACCAUUCCUCACCACUGUGACAAAUCUGACAGGUUUACAAAUUAGUAUUCUGGGACUCUCAAACUGGAUGUCCCUGUUUUGUCAGAUUCCGUGAAGGAUUGCAAACGUGCUUGGUGAUUGCUGCAAGUAAUACAAUAGCUCGCAAAAACCAACGUACACUCUCAGGAAACUGGCCCCUUGGGAAAAUAUUUUGGGCAACAGAAAAUGCUGCCCACUGCCCUCCCCACCACCGACCCCUGCUAAGAAAAGAGGGCAUACUCAGACGUGGAAAAAUCAAGGUGGAUUUUCACGGACCCCAAGGUGGCAGAGGCCAAGUAGCCUCCCACUCCUGGGUGUCUUCUGUAGGCUGUACUGGCCUGAGCCAGCAGGGCAUGAGACUUACCCAGCUCUGGCCAUUAACACCCUACUUCUUUUGCUGAAAUCUUUCUCCCUAAGGCUUUCCCCCAUUAGUCCUGAAGCAACCCUUGGGUGCUGCGCACAAUGAAUCUAAAGCCACUUUCAAACACCAGCCCUUCAACUUCAACAACAGCAACAGAGAAGCAAUGAGAGUUGGUACUUUAACAGGGGUCACCUG